UGUUUGGCACCUCGAUGUCGGCUCAUCACAUCCUGGGGCUGAAGCCGGUCCCAAGGGUAUGGCUGUUCGCCAUUUAAAGUGGUACGCGAGCUGGGUUUAGAACGUCGUGAGACAGUUCGGUCCCUAUCUGCCGUGGGCGUUUGAGAAUUGAGAGGAGCUGCUCCUAGUACGAGAGGACCGGAGUGGACGUACCCCUGGUGUUCGGGUUGUUGUGCCAACAGCAUUGCCCGGUAGCUAUGUACGGACGGGAUAACCGCUGAAAGCAUCUAAGCGGGAAGCCCCCCUCAAGAUAAGUUCUCACUGGGAUUUAAUCCCCUGAAGGGCCGUGGAAGACUACCACGUUGAUAGGCUGGGUGUGGAAGUGCAGUAAUGUAUGGAGCUAACCAGUACUAAUUGCCCGUGAGGCUUGACCAU
rnacentral:rRNA from 1 species